CCUUUAACAUGGAGGUGCUUGCU
rnacentral:miRNA from 13 species